UAGGCAGCUUGCGAUGCAUUUUCGAGGGUUGUGUAAAUUUUCUAAUGUAUAAUCUACUACAGAAUGUCAAAUACUUCCGUGACAUUCAGACGAACGUUAAGUUAGCGAUGCUCUCUGACGGCCGAUUGAUCCUAGACGUGGCCUCCCCAACUAGGUGGAAGUAACGUUUAAGGUUUAAGGUCUAGUUAGUAAGUCUUCGCAUGGCCGCACAGUGUUGACCUCUGCAUACAAUUGAAGAUGCGUUAAUGAGUGAACGAUCGAUUUUGCCAAGUGGACAGUAUUUUCGUUUCAAAUUAAUCAGAACAUAAAUAAUUCGACAUACGCUAAUUCUUAUACGUCAGGCGUGGCGUACGCAUCGAGAAAGCGUUUUUCAACUUUUAUGUAUAAUAAUGUCCGUUGGAGCAAAUACGUGACAGACGUGAAUAAAAAUCAUAUAACGGACAAACAUGCGGACGGCGUAAAUAUUUUGCUCACGCAAGCUUGCGUUCUCUACUUAUGAUGGACUAGGUUCUUCGAGCUUCUUCGUCGACGUCCAGCGAUCAAUAGCAUCGGUAUUAAGAUGGCCUUCAUCUAAAGACGCAUGAACGUGUCGGCUGUAUAAAUACUGUUCUAGGGAUAGCACUGCCCUCUUUCAAUUCACGGUCGAAAGUGAUGCUGGUGAAGGCGCGCGCUUCCGUUGAAACGUCGACUUAUUCUAUACAUUUGGGCCUGUGCGUUUCAUCUGAAAGCCUCACUCUGCGAAUGUGAGCCUAUUUCUGAAGCUGUACACUCAGAUCCUUAAUAACCGUUCGUAAACAGACAAUAUCCAGAUGCGAGAGGCACAAUCAGACGUAUGUACUUGGACCCACAGCAUUUUCCGAUCAUUUGGGCAAAUGCAUAAUAAGAGUUGAGAUCACGACGGUAAGCGUAUUAGCUAACAGAUUCUGUUAAAUGUUAAUGGGUCCACGUGUAUCGAACACUGAUAUCGCCUGUACUUGUUAUACCGCCGUAGAUAUUUCUACAAGAUAAAUUUGCGCACG